UGUGACUUUGGUUGUCUGCAGGGUGAGGUCAUUUUUGGUCCCUGUGACUUUGGUUACCUGCAGAGUGAGGUCAUUUUCGGUCCCUGUGACUUUGGUUACCUGCAGGGUGAGGUCAUUUUCAUUCCCUGUGGCUUUGGUUGUCUUCAGAGUGAGGUCAUUUUUGGUCCCUGUCGCUUUGGUUGUCUGCAGAGUGAGGUCAUUUUCGGUCCCUGUGACUUUGGUUACCUGCAGAGUGAGGUCAUUUUCGUUCCCUGUGGCUUUGGUUGUCUUCAGAGUGAGGUCAUUUUUGGUCCCUGUGACUUUGGUUACCUGCAGAGUGAGGUCAUUUUUGGUCCCUGUUGCUUUGGUUGUCUGCAGAGUGAGGUCAUUUUCGGUCCCUGUGACGUUGGUUGUCUGCAGGGUGUGGUCAUUUUUGGUCCCUGUCACUUACCUACAGGGUCUGGUUAUCUUCACUCCCUGUCACUCAUGCCUCCCAAGCUCUCACAAAACUGGACUUUUGUGAGGAAAUAGUGAAGCCCUCAAUGCAGCCCUGUCAGAGAACACGGAAGAACAAAAUCUUUGCACAUCAUGUUUGUUGAAUAAAUUGUUUAUUCCUCAGGACACUUGACCACAGUAAAAUGUCAUAUUUUAAAUUUUUUCUUUCAUCGGCCAAGCUUACAAAAGGUGGACCCUCUGCUAGAGUUAAAUGCAGUGGGCAGAUGCCUCAUGCAGAGAAGGCUGGUCUUGCUUGGUUAGAUGAGGCUGGUUUCACCUGGAUUACAGGACACUGAGUCAUUAGUUUCAUUUGUCCCUUCAAAUGCCUACCCAGCUGUUUAUGAAGUAGCCACUGCAUGCUAGGAAAUGCAGGAGCAAAUCGUGACAACAUCCAGGCCCUGCUACCAAGAAGCCCUUGGGCUGGUGGAAACGGUGGUUCAGUGGCUGAGACACAAGCUGGUGAAGGCUGACAACAGAAGCGAGAGACUGAGGCAGGUGUCUCAAUCACUGAGAGGUGUGAUGCCAGCUUUUGGACAUGUCCUGGAAAAACCUGACCCCCCCACAACACAUCUACAACUGCUGUUCCGAAGAGGUUUUCAGGAGGGUUAGUAUUGAUGUUCCCUUAUGAUGAGGGGGCCUGUAGAGAGAAGGGCAGGCAGGUGGCAGGGGCAUGACUACACUUCCCUGAGACCUUGGUACCUAGCAAAUCUAUGUUUUGAGAGCAGCAGGAGGCAGCCAAAGGCCCACGCAGGUGGGGCAGGUCCCUGGUGAAAUCCCACAUCCAAGCCAAAGACAGUUUAAAGCCUGGAAACCAAGCUACAAGUUAAAUCCUUGGACCAGAUUGAGGACUUGUCUUGCCGUUCAGCUUUCCCCUGAUUGGUCCCCACCCUUCACCUAUUUUAUACAUACCCACCCUUUCCUAAUUGGUUUCUCUACACUAUCGUGCCCACCAUUGAGUGGCGUCUUCACUUUAAACUUUUCUGCAUACUCACAAACCAGUCAGCACACACUCCCCAUUCUGAGUCCAUAAAAGACCCCAGACCAGCCACACGGGGGUACUUUCUGUUUUCGGGUAGGGGACCAACCCCAUGUUCCCUCUCUGCUGAAGACAAUUUUCAAUGCUCAAUAAAAUUAUUCUCUGUCCUUAUCAUCCUUCAAUGUUCAGCAUAUUCCCAUUCUUCCUGGGUGCAAUGCAAGAGUUCGGGAACUGCCAAUGUGGGUAUAAACUGUAAGACAGGUGAGCUGGGACACACUAGUGUGGCUGAGCAAGGCCUGUGUGUGGAGUUGCUGCCUGGGGGUUCCUGGCUUGCAAAGUGACUGAGAACAAAAAUCCUGCAUCAUUUUGGAGGCUCUCCCUGAAGGAGUCAAGGAAACUUAUUUUGAGCUAUUUACAGCCUUUAAUAAUUGAGAUGCAAUUGUAGAAACUGGUUGGUUGUUUUACCAAGGCUUUGACUGGAAAGUUGUGCUUCCCUUUAAAGAAUCAAGCUUGAUAUGCAGACCCAAUAAAAGCCCCUUGAGAAAACUGGCCUUCAUACCUUGUCAACACAGUCCUGUAUAGGGUUCUUAACCUGUGAGUAUCCUCAUUCUUCUUGGGCAUGGUACAAGAACUCAGGAACCACCAAACAUGAUACAAGCUAUAACACAGGCCAGUUGGGGCAUGCCAGCAUGGCCGAGUGGGACCCAGGUGGAGCACUGCCAGCUGGGGCUCCCUGCUCUGCAACGUGACUGAGAAUAAAAAUCCUACAUUGGUUUUACGUAACAGAAGGUGAACAUCUGAUAAGAAAGGGUGACAAAAGGAAAAGUCAACCAUGCAGAUGUCUCUGGGUAUGUGGGGGAGUGACUGGUCUCACCUUGACUUUAUUCUGCACCUGGGCAGGUGGGUUUGUAAUUGACACGACCAGUGUGCAACUGAACAGACUUUAGUUUUAGGAGCUGGACUUAGACUGCAGUCCUAAAGUUUCAAUUGGCCUGUCCUCAUUCAUGAGAGGCCAGCAGAGAAUUCACGCAGGGAUCAUCUGUGUGGGCAGCUUUUCCAGAUGCCUGAGGCCUUUCCCAUUCUCUUUGGGUCUGGCUGAUACAUGAUGUUAGUGACAGUCAAUUCAUUUGGAAGAGGGAGUGCAAUGACUUUCCCUUUUGCAUAAGAAGUUUUGGGGGUACUGAGAUUUUUAGUUUCCUUUACAAGACCUUCCCGCAAAUAAGUACAAGAGGACCCAGAGUGUGGGGUGUCUGGCUGUCUGAGCAGUUGGGCCACUGACGCUGAGGACAAUGUGAGAAAGCCUGUCCUGGUGGAAGGGAGAGCAAAGGUGGAGAGAAAGGAAGCUCCAUGUUAGUUUUUGAAACACACCACAGCUGAAGGUCAGUCCCCAAAGCUGGUUAUGGUUGAAAGGGAGGAAAAGCUGCUCCCACGUGGCUCUGGCUGAGGCUUCCGAGACUCUGCAGGUGGGGGCCGUCUGUCUUCCCCAGGUGGGAGCUACUUCUUUUUAGAAGCAGGCUCCACGGCGGUUUUCAGGUGUGGCCUUGCCCAGCGUCCCGAUGUUUUGCUUCCUGCCUGGCCUCGGCGCUCUUUGAUGACCUCCUCUUGCCACACACUGUGGUCUCCAUAGGCUGCCCACUGCUGAUCCGAGGCUGGUGGCCCCCAGCACACGUGGGUUUCUGAGGAACACGCUGAGACUCUCGGGCCAUGCCGUGACACAGGGGAGACAGCGUCUGCUCUUUUUCCAUUUUUGUUCGUUUUCAGUGCUCUGACCCUCAGGAAGCCCACUUAAGCAUCCCAGAAUCCAGACGGCCGUGAACAAAGCUGCUGUGGUUUGGGGCUGCAAAACUGGCCCACAGCCCACCUGGAUAACUGAAUCGAACAUGCCUCAGCCGCCCUCACCACAGGCACCAUCCCCCUCACAGAAGUUUGAUGUCUGAUCAUUCAGCACUGGCUGAGCCUCAGAGCUAAAAUGGAAAAUGCAUUUUAUGAGCAGAUAACACAUUUUUGGAAUGGCUACUUUAAACAUUGUGGAUACAGAUUCACAGAGACUAUUUUUAGAUGAAUUAUUUCUUCUAUUUACCAUACUGAUUUGCUGGAAGAAAGAAAAACAAUAUUUUAAAAAGGGAAAACAUUCUUUAAAAGCAGUGACUCUAAAUUUCCCCUGAAGAGCAAAAUGCUGUCUGUGUCUCACUCAAUGUGGUGGCUGCUACAGGAGGAUCUUCCCAGGCCUUCUCAGGGAAUUCCCAUCAGGAUCACAGGAAUGGUACCUGGCAGACACAACCCAGUCUGCACCUUCCAUGGGCCACAGCUGAUGGUACGAGGAGAGGUGUGACAUCUGCCUGACCUCAGCUCUGGGGGUUCCUGUGGGUGGACAGAAGGAGCCCUGGAGGCCCGGCCAGGAUGCGUCAUCUGUGGCUACCACGUGGAUUCUCUGGUGUGCUGAGUCAAGGCAGCGAUCUUCCAAGUGUGGUCGCUGUACCUCCAUCAGCACCUCCUGGGACUUGUCAGGACGCUGACCCGGGCCCCAGCCAAGUUCUGCUGCUGCCUCAGGGGGACAGAGGCAGGGCCUCACUGUCUGAUGAUCCAGCCCUGCAGGGGGCCCGCUGCACCUGCAGGUGUGAGAGCCGCCGCUGAAUUAAGGUGACUGGAAGGUUUCAGGGCAUGGGAGGGAGGUAGAUCAUUUGGGGCUGAGAAGCACUUUUGCAUCUCUUUCCUGCCCAGAAGCGACCAGAGAGGCCAGGCAUUGUCACCUGGAGACUUUGGAAAUGAAGCCCUGAGCUGAUCUAAUAAUUUCUGGCAAAUUCUAUGGGGUUGCUUCAUGAAUUAGGAAAAGCCAUAGAAACUCAAGUGUAAAUCGUGUGUUAUAUCCCAGGGCCGCGCGCUUAAUGUGGACUGUGGAGCUUGUACGCAGCCUGUCACACCCUGCCAGCCUCAAUACGGCUCUCCUUACCCCGGGCCUCUGCACGCACAUAUGAAAGGCAACCUCACCUCUGUGGCUUGCAUGGUUCAGCGAUUCAUACUGUGUUAGUAUUCCUAAUCUAUUUCUAAGUAACUUAAUUUUUCUCGAAAAUAGUAAUUUAAAAUGUUGUCCAUAUAGAUGAAUAACAAUCAGAAAACUUUCCUUAGGGAUGCUAAAACAUCAUUAAUUAGCAAUAAAACAAAUUUAAGUUUUAUGAGCUGUCGUGGCAUUUAUCAUUCUGUAAGAUUGCAAACAUAGUUUUCCAUAGAUGUCAUAAUUCAUUAAGAGAAGUGGUGAAAUUUGGAUGUGUUUGAAAGAACAAGGAACUAGAUUAAACACCCUCUGCUGCACCGCAGGGGCUGACGAGGGAAGACAUAGGUGGUGUCUGAAACGUUCUGUGGCUACAGAGUCCUCUUUCAUAUCCUUCCUUUAGGGAGAGACUCGGGAGAGACUCAGAAGAGAGGUGUUUUCCGGCAAUAGCAGAGCAUAGGAACCUCUUGAUAGACCACUGAGAUGAGUCAGCAUCGGCAGCCUGCACAGGGUGGUGGGGUGGGCUGGGGCCUCAGUGAGUGGGGUGCAGACAGGGGCUUCUCUCCACCUGCCAAGAUUCCACUCAAAUGCUGCGUCUCCCUGAAGCCCCUCCCAUCUUCACAGACCUUCAUUUAACACUUACUGAAGGGUAGAUGGUUGUAUAGCUCACUGAGGUGUCUGACUCCCUGACCAGACUGUGGGACUCUUCAGAAUGAAACAGACUUUUCCUUCUUUAUUUUCCCCGUUUCUAACUUAGUCAUGCACAGAAUAAACGCUUGGUAAGACUCUACUGAAUGAUGAUACUUCUCCAGGACGAAGGUGCCUGUGAAGAAUGGGAAGGCCUGGUGCCGUAGUGUCUUAGAUUCUGAUAUGCCACAUGUCCUGCUUAUCACCCUGAAGUCUCAAAAGAUAAUCAACUUGUUAAACACUGUGCUUUGUACCUACUUCAUUUUUUAAAGAGCUUUUAUUUUGACUGUUGGACAUCACGGUUAUUCUUCCUGAACUCAGCCCUGAUAGUGCAGUGCCCCAGUACAAGUCCCUGGCACAUUGGCCUGGAGUUUAAGGCUCUGCAUACCCCACCCGGGCAUCCUGCUUCCCCUGCACAAUCGCUUUGCUGGAUCAGUGCUAGCUGGGUCUGUCUCUCCAGCGCUUUAGAAGCCGCCCUCCUGCUGUGUCUUCGCUCAUUCUGUUCCCUUCUCCCGGUCCCCCACUGUUUGCUGCUUUGCUUUUUAUUUCUCAAGGCUCAGUUCAAAAGCCACCAUUUCCACCAAGACGUGGUGACCUCAACUGGAUUGGAGACAACGCCUCUCCCCAGCUCCUCUGGAAUAUGGUUCUGUCCUCUGAGCCUGGUAUCGGCGUCGAUGCUGUCUACAUGCGCUGCUGGCUGGUCGCCUACUGGAUGUGUCUGCCCGCUGGGGGAAGGAACCAGGCCCUGGAAUGGGAUCCUGAGUAGGAGCACAGUCUGGAUAUUCCUGCAGGAGUGAAGAGACAUUCUCAGGGCGGAUGUUGCCAGGACAAAGAAACACAAGCAACAACAAGAACAAAACUGGAGUUGUCUCUCUCACAACUCAAGUGGAGCCUGAGGAAUAACAAGAGCUCAUUAAAUAUCUGUUGCAUGAAUGAGUGAAUAAAUGAAGGGAGGACUUUUAUGAAAACACUUCUUUACAUCUGGAAAUGUUACCCCCACGUUUUCUGGCAUCUGAUGUUGCUGCAAAUGUGAAGCCAAGGAGACCCUCCAGGAUGCCCAAGCCUGGGAGAAAUCCUGAUGACUGGGGGUUGGAAAAGAAGCAUGACACAUAAGAAAUGUUAGUUCUCUAUUCUUAUCAUUGAUUAUCAGAGUAGAUUAACCAUAAAACUAACAAUGCUGAAACUUGAGGACCUUCCCCAGAACUGCUGGGCCUCCAGCAGCAUGAUGCAUAGGUUUUUGUGAAAUUUUCAAAAGAUUUUUAACUGCAAUCAGCAAAAACGAUUGUCUCUCUCAGUCCAACUUCCCAGCAGUCAAAUUUCCCACAGUGGCAAAUGAUGUCAGAAUUGCUACAGCAUCUUUUGAGUCUGUCUAAGGGGAAGUAGAGCCAUGGGUGCAUUUGGUUCAGAGUUAGUGGAGUACGUGUAUAUGGUCAUAGUCACUUCUGUGUUCUGAUAGUGAAAUGGUUUUGAAAACUACUCCAAUAACCCACUCUGCUGACUUACCCAGCAUCUUGGUGUUGCAGGAAAUCAGGGACCCCGAAUGGAGGGACUGGCUGGAGCCGCGGCAGAGGAAC
rnacentral:lncRNA from 1 species